UCUCCAGGUGUGGGGCCUCAACCACAUCCCUGAGCAACCUGUUCCUGUGUUGCACCGCUCUUAAGGAGCCCAAGCUGAAGCAGCUCUCCAAUGAACACCUGUGAAAGUGCACACAAGUCAUUUGACUGAAACGUGGCCUGGAGAAGGUUAAGGAAGUUGUGAGUGGUCUGCCUUGCAAAGCAAAAAGGCUACAGGUGGUUCUGGUCUUUUCCUUCAGGCCUUGAUGAAUCAAGAGCAUAACAGAAAGUUGAUUUUUUUCCUGAAGGAGCAGCAGCAGUAAGUAGAAAAGGAGGCAGCAGAGGAGUAAAAGUAAAUAAUGAAAAGCUGCUGACAAGAGUUACUACUGGCAGUGACCACUCUGUUGGAAGCUGAAAAUCUGUGCUUUAAUAGACCUUUUGACCUAAUUGUACAAAGUCUUUCAUGUUAAUUAACUCUUUUUUCAGAAAGGUCAAACCUCCUUUACUGCUGAAGAUCAUGUACUUCAACCAAGAAAUCUUUUAUCAUGUCCAGCAACACCACAGCAACAUAAAACUCAGGGGCUUUGAUUGUGAACAAAUGAAUAAAUCCUUAACAGGAAGCUUGGAGUAUUUCA